GAUGAAGAACGUAGCGAAAUGCGAUAAGUAGUGUGAAUUGCAGAAUUCAGUGAAUCAUCGAAUCUUUGAACGCACAUUGCGCCCCUUGGUAUUCCAUGGGGCAUGCCUGUUCGAGCGUCAUUUGUACCUUCAAGCUCUGCUUGGUGUUGGGUGUUUGUCUCGCCUCUGCGUGUAGACUCGCCUCAAAACAAUUGGCAGCCGGCGUAUUGAUUUCGGGGCGCAGUACAUCUCGCGCUUUGCACUCAUAACGACGACGUCCAAAAGUACAUUUUUACACUCUUGACCUCGGAUCAGGUAGGGAUACCCGCUGAACUUAAGCAUAUCAAUAAGCGGAGGA
rnacentral:misc_RNA from 1 species